GACGAACGCUGGCGGCGUGCUUAACACAUGCAAGUCGAACGGAAAGGCCCUGCUUUUGUGGGGUGCUCGAGUGGCGAACGGGUGAGUAACACGUGAGUAACCUGCCCUUGACUUUGGGAUAACUUCAGGAAACUGGGGCUAAUACCGGAUAGGAGCUCCUGCUGCAUGGUGGGGGUUGGAAAGUUUCGGCGGUUGGGGAUGGACUCGCGGCUUAUCAGCUUGUUGGUGGGGUAGUGGCUUACCAAGGCUUUGACGGGUAGCCGGCCUGAGAGGGUGACCGGCCACAUGGGGACUGAGGUACGGCCCAGACUCCUACGGGAGGCAGCAGUGGGGAGUAUGGCAGAACGGGCGGAAGCCUGAUGCGGCAGCGCUGCGUGCGGGAUGACGGCCUUCGGGUUGUAAACCGCUGUCGCCUGUGACGAGGCGUGAGUGACGGUAAUGGGUAAAGAAGCACCGGCUAACUACGUG
rnacentral:rRNA from 1 species